rnacentral:misc_RNA from 1 species
GUAACGGCGAGUGAAGCGGCAACAGCUCAAAUUUGAAAUCUGGCUCCUUCGGGGCCCGAGUUGUAAUUUGCAGAGGAUGCUUCGGGUACGGGUUCCUUCCGAGUUCCCUGGAACGGGACGCCAUAGAGGGUGAGAGCCCCGUCUGGUAGGACACCCAGCCCGUGUGAAGCUCCCUCGACGAGUCGAGUAGUUUGGGAAUGCUGCUCUAACGGGAGGUAUACUCCUUCCAAGGCUAAAUACCGGCUGGAGACCGAUAGCGCACAAGUAGAGUGAUCGAAAGAUGAAAAGCACUUUGAAAAGAGAGUCAAAUAGCACGUGAAAUUGUUGAAAGGGAAGCGCUCGCUACCAGACAUGGGUUCGGCGGUUCAACCGGGGCCACGCCCCGGGGCACUCCGCCGGCCCAGGCCAGCAUCAGCUUUCCGUCGGGGGCAAAGACGUCGGGAAUGUGGCUCCCCUCCGGGGGAGUGUUAUAGCCCGGCGUGUCAUACCCUUCGGGGGGCUGAGGUACGCGCUUCUGCAAGGAUGCUGGCGUAAUGGUAGCUAGUGACCCGUCUUGAAACACGGACCAAGGAGUCAACCUUAUGUGCGAGUGCCCGGGCGUAAAACCCCAGCGCGGAAUGAAAGUGAACGUAGGUGAGAGCUUCGGCGCAUCACCGACCGAUCCUGAUGUCCUCGGACGGAUUUGAGUGAGAGCAUAUAGGGUUGGACCCGAAAGAAGAUGAACUAUGCGUGUGUAGGGUGAAGCCAGAGGAAACUCUGGUGGAGGCUCGCAGCGGUUCUGACGUGCAAAUCG